AUUGAACGCUGGCGGCAGGCCUAACACAUGCAAGUCGAACGAGUGGCGGACGGGUGAGUAAUGUCUGGGAAACUGCCUGAUGGAGGGGGAUAACUACUGGAAACGGUAGCUAAUACCGCAUACCAUCGGAUGUGCACAGAUGGGAUUAGCUAGUAGGUGGGGUAACGGCUCACCUAGGCGACGAUCCCUAGCUGGUCUGAGAGGAUGACCAGCCACACGGGACUUGAAACACGGUCCAGACUCCACAGUGAGGUAGCGGUGGGGAAUUUUGCACAAUGGGCGCAAGCCUGAUGCAGCCAUGCCGAGUGUAGGAAGAAGGCCUUCGGGUUGUAAAGUACUUUCAGCGGGGAGGCGUUACCCGCAGAAGAAGCACCGGCUAACUCCGUGCCAGCAGCCGCGGUAAUUC
rnacentral:rRNA from 1 species